rnacentral:rRNA from 1 species
GAUCCUGGCUCGGGAUGAGCGCUAGCGACAGGCCUAACACAUGCAAGUCGAGGGGCAGCGGAGAGGUAGCAAUACCUUUGCCGGCGACCGGCGCACGGGUGAGUAACACGUAUGCAAUCCACCUGUAACAGGGGGAUAACCCGGAGAAAUCCGGACUAAUACCCCAUAAUAUGGGCUAUCCGCAUGGAGGGUCCAUUAAAGAGAGCAAUUUUGGUUACAGACGAGCAUGCGCUCCAUUAG